rnacentral:rRNA from 1 species
UACGUAGGUGGCGAGCGUUGUCCGGAAUUAUUGGGCGUAAAGCGCGCGUAGGCGGGAUAGUCAGUCUGUUGUAAAAGUGCGGGGCUCAACCCCGUAAGGUCAAUGGAAACUGCUAUUCUUGAGUGCAGGAGAGGAAAGUGGAAUUCCCAGUGUAGCGGUGAAAUGCGUAGAUAUUGGGAGGAACACCAGUGGCGAAGGCGGCUUCCUGGCCGGAUACUGACGCUCAAGUGCGAAAGCUGGGGGAGCGAACGGG